ensembl:lncRNA
UGAGUGUAUAUAUAGUUUUAUUGGUGCGAUACAGGAUGAUACAAACCAAAUAUUCACCGUUUACACAAAAACAUUAGAGGCUACAGUCUGUUCAGAGAGCAUGUAGAUCCAUCGGUCAUCAUGAAACAGCGAGGAAGAAACCAGAUAACAUACAAACACGCACUGACCGCAUGUUCACACUCCAACACACAUGUACACACACGCCGACAGCCCUGUAAGAAGCGUGACAUACAAAAAGCUGUAGAAAAAUACUCUUAAAAAACCAAACACACAAAACAGCAGCAGCAGCAGCGGCCACUUGGAAUGUUCCAGAUGUCAGUCCGACCUCGACGUAGAAGAAGCUACAUGGGCAGUUUGUUGGACAACUAACCGGCUGUUUCAUUUUCAAGGUGACUGGAAGAAACCUACAGAACCUGGGGAGGACUGAGACGGAGGGAAAUGUUGAAGGGAUUCUGGAGAAAAACAACAAAAUCUGUGGUAUAUGAGGCCAAAAGUCACAUGUAGUGGUGUUUAUGUGAUCAAAUAUGAGAGGACUAGUAGAGUUUUGUUAAAUCUAGUCUGAAACCAGCCAAAACUAGUUCGAAACUAGUCUGAAACCAGUCCAAAACUAGAUCUAAACUAGUCUGAAACCAGCCAAAACUAGUUCGAAACUAGUCUGAAACCAGUCAAAACUAGAUCUAAACUAGUCCAAAAUUUGUCCAAAACUAGAUCUAAACUAGUUCUAAACUAGUCUGAAACCAGGUGCAGGCAGAAACUUUCCUUCAGAAUCUGUCCAGCGACUCGUGGACAUGUGGACAUGCAGGACUUUGUAAUUUGUCAGUAAACUUAUUUAAAAGUCAUCUUAUAUUUAGACAUGGUGGAUUAUUAUAGGAUGCACUGUUUUAGAGGGUGGGAAGAUGUCUGCAUUAUUACAAACCAACAGCAACUCUUCUAAACUUCUAAUUUCACAUAUUUGGCGUUUAUGAGCUCCUAAUAAGUCUGUCGUCCAUACACCAGGGGGCGCUGCUGCACAGCAAGAGGUUAAACUUAUGUGAAUAAAGAACUCUUAUUUUCUGUUUUUUUGUGCAAACUAAUUUGUAAUUUGUGCCUCUUUUAUCUACCCAAACCAAAAGGAGUGCAGAGAUUAGCGUCAGUCUGAAGAGUGGUGGUCAUUAAAGCUACGACCACGGGCGUGUCCUGGUGGCCAGUUGUGAUAUUACAACAGAAUCAAAGCAUCGCUGCUCAAAAAGGAGAGGACUCAGCUGACAGAACGACCAAGAGGACGCUUCCUACGACUCAAAGUAUUAUAGAGGGAAACUGCAUAGAGAGGGACGACUCAAGCUGGUAACUGAAACUACCUGGUGAGGAGAGACUCAAAGCGAUUAUGGUGCUGAAACUGCCUGGGGAGGAAUUACUCAAGAUAUUAAUGGUGGUGAAACCGACAUAAGAUGGACGAUUUAAGGUGUUUGUAUGUUAAAACUGCCUGGGGAAGGAUGAUUCAAGGUGUUGCUUGUGGUGAAAAUACCUGGGGAGGGACGAUGUAUGGUGUUAAUGGUGGUUAAACUGCCUGGAGAGGAAUUACUAGGUAGGAGGAAUUACUCAAGGUGUUAAUGGAGGUGAAACCAAUUAAAGAUGGAUGAUUUCAGGUGUUUGUAUGUUAAAACUGCCUGGUUAGGGAUGACUCAAGGUGUUUGUGUGUUAAAACUGCCUAAGGAGGGAUGAUUUAAGGUGUUAAUGGAGGUGAAACCAACUUAAGAUGGAUGAUUUAAGGUAUUUGCAUAUUAAAACUACCUGGGGAGGGGAUGACUCAAGGUUUUGCUUGUGGUUAAACUGCCUGGGAGGGAUUACUCAGGAUGCUAAUGGCGGUGAAACGCACUUAAAAUGGACAAUUCAAGGUAUUUGUAUGUUAAAACUGCCUGGGGAGGGAUGAUUCAAGGUGUUGUUUGUGGUGAAAAUACCUGGGGAGGGACGAUGUAUGGUGCUAAUGCUGGGUGAACUGCCUGAGGAGGGAUUACUCAAGGUGUUAGUAUUAUAAAACUACCUGAGGAGGGAUGAGUUAAGGUGUUGCUUGUUGUUAAACUGCCUGGGGAGGAAGGAUUUAUGGUGUUAAUGGUGGUUAAACUACCUGGGGAGGGAUGAUUCAAGACUCAAGAUCAUUAAUUCAAGAGUCACGUGACUAUGCAAAGAAGUUGAGGUUUCCCUAAAAUGGUCCAAACUUCUGCAGCCAUUUUUUUUUACUACUAGCUAACUUUAGCUACAACAUCUAGCCAGUGAACUCUGCUACUGUUAAAACAGCUGGACGUCAUUGGCUUCUAAAUACAUGGCAAAAGCUAACGUAGCUUGGUGCUCCUGCUAUUAAAACACAUUAAUACAUGUUGUAUAUUGUCAGUGUGCUACAUUUGUGCUUCAUAUUCUAGCUGGCGCUAAUUUGGCAGUUAAUUGUUUGUGUUAGUGAGCCCGCGAGCUAACUAAAACUACAACGAGGUAAGGCUAAUAUAUGUUAGCAUCCACAUUAGCGAUAUGCUACAGUUAUAAGCAGGUGUUUGAAUAUUUCUGUUUUUGCUGUGUGUUUUGACUUUACCUACUAUUUAAAUUCAGGAAUAAAUCUUUAAAUACUUUAACAUGUCGCUGGUAUUUAAUUUUAAGUGCUGAUAUUCAGUAUUUGUUCAAACUUCAGAUUUGAUCUGCGGCUAAUGAGCUGUAGUACUAAACAAAUACAGUAAAAAUGACAGCGUCAGUUCUAAAGCACUAUUACCUCCUAAUGCACUAUCAAAGGUUAACAUGGAUUAUCUGGGGACUCUAAGGGACUGCAGUCUGUCGGAUAUAGAAUCAAACUGAAGACAGUGUUGACCAUUAAAGUUGCCCAAAUCAGUUGCUAGUGUGUUGAGAAGCAAAGAAAAUGGUCGUUCUCGCUGACAUUCACACUCAUGCACACGUACAGUACGACAUUGUACAGGUAACAAGUUUUACUGCUAACUUUAAGUACAGGCACUAUAGAGUGAAGCAUUGUGGGAGGUUGAGUGCUCAGCUGGUCUGGUUUUAGCUAGCAGCUUUUCCAUCAUUGUGAAGAUGUCUGGUUUAUUUUACAGCCACAUUUCUGGAAACGUUCCUCAUAACUUCCUGAAAGCGAGCUGCUGUUCAGCCCUAAAAGAAGAAAUAUGAACCGACUCAGUUUGGUGCUAAACUCCAACAGACAUCAGAGUUUCCUAGAACAGCUAAAGAUGUCGGUUCUUGAUCAGUAAAUAUGAAUCAUAAACUACUUACUGGAGCGUCUCUGAUUAGCACCACAGUAAGAUGUCAUUUACAGCUAAGUUUCUGGAAACUUUCAGGAAGGUUUCAAGGAAAUUAGCAGGAAAAUAUGGGACUGUUUCAAUGAGAAUCAAAAGUUUAACUGCUCAGCUUCAGAAACAGAUGUUUGUCCUGUUGUCCCUGUUUCCAGGGAGUGUUUCCGUUAGCACAGAGUUUUAACACAACAAUAAACUGAAACGCUGUUCAUAACGACAGGAAAUCUUCAUGUGAACGCAAAGAAAGUUGGGUUUAACUGUGAUGUUUAACCACCACUGAUGCUUUUUAAACUGUCAGAGGUUUACUGGAGGCUCCUCAGGGUUUAAAGUGAAUAUGCUUCAGCUGAGGUUCAACAUGAUGCUUUUCUGGUGUAAAUUCACUGAAGUUUGAAAGCUGCUGUGAGUCCUGGACUGAGAUCAGGUUUGAAAUAAAUGUUAGACACCAUUUAUCAUAAUUUAUGAUCAAUUCAAAACUAAAAAAAUUGUAGAAUCUUUUUUCUCUUUGUUUUAACACCAAAUUUUGAAUAUUUUGAAAAAAGACAGAAGGAGUUCCGACUUAUUCUUGAAAUCCUCAAUGUGCCAGACAGUUCAGUUUUGGAAAACUAGUCUAAAACCAGUCAAAACUAUUCUAAAACUAGUCUAAAACCAGUCAAAACUAGUCUAAAUCCAAUCAAAACUAGUCUUAAACCAACUAAAACGAGUCUUAAACCAGUCAAAG